rnacentral:rRNA from 1 species
CGUAGGGUGCAAGCGUUAAUCGGAAUUACUGGGCGUAAAGCGUGCGCAGGCGGUUUUGUAAGACAGAGGUGAAAUCCCCGGGCUCAACCUGGGAACUGCCUUUGUGACUGCAAGGCUUGAGUGCGGCAGAGGGGGAUGGAAUUCCGCGUGUAGCAGUGAAAUGCGUAGAUAUGCGGAGGAACACCGAUGGCGAAGGCAAUCCCCUGGGCCUGCACUGACGCUCAUGCACGAAAGCGUGGGGAGCAAACAGGAUUAGAUACCCUGGUAGUCCACGCCCUAAACGAUGUCAACUGGUUGUUGGGAAGGUUCCUUCUCAGUAACGUAGCUAACGCGUGAAGUUGACCGCCUGGGGAGUACGGCCGCAAGGUUG